AUGGACAACGAGAAGUUGGAAGAACUAGAUUUGAGAGAUUCGAGUAUAAUUCGCAUGUCUUUGGCUAAGAAUAUUCUUGCAGAUGUUCUGGAAACUAUUGAAGUCAAGAUUGAUGAUGAAGAUAAAGCUUUAAGACUCAUAUGGUCUCUUCCAUCUUCUUAUGAGUAUAUUAAAUCUGCUUUGAUAUAUGGGAAGGAAACUUUUGAUUUUGAAGAAGUUGCUAGUAAAAUUAUUUCUGAAGUAGAAGAUUGA